ACAAACAUAUAUAUUUUCACACGAACAUCGUUAACAGACACUGGAAAUUAAAUGUUCAUACAUCUUACUUCUACAGAGAGUAACAUCGAUAGUAAAUUCACAAGAAACAAUAUGAAUUACUAAAAGCAACUAGCUGACAAUUAGUCACACACACAGAACAUAUAUGAUUUGGAUUACACAAGACACAAUACUAGCACUAAAAUGAUCAACAUCACAGAAAUACGAAACCACAUGAAACAUAUAUCACGAACAUAUAUGUCACAGAAAUACUCAUAAGCAGAUUCUGAUAGAUCAAUCACCUCCCAAAUUAAGGAGGCAUCAACAAGUCAGGUCACAUAACAAGUACUAUAUUAUACCAGUACGGAGCUGAACGAAUAACAAGUGGUUAGAACUAGUCAAGUCUGAAUAUUACACAACCCUGAACAUUACACAAUUCUGAACAUUACACUACUCAAGGUUACAGAAAUUUGAGAGAGAGAGAGAACAGCAGCAGGUUUUGGGAAAGGGGGAGGAGGAGCAGCAGGUUUUUGGAAGAUGAGGAGCAGCAGGGGCGUUUGAGAGAAGGUGCAGCAAGAGAGAGGAGCAGCGGCAAUUCAGCAGAGAGGUUGAGGGAAGGAGCAGCAACAGUUGCGGUCCAGAGCAGCAGCAGCAGCGUGGAGGGUUGAGAGAAAAGCUUCAGCCGAGGCCAAGCAGGGUCGUGAGAGGAGAAACAGAGGAGGAGGAGCAGCGAGAUGGGCGAAGGGAGCAGCAGGAAGGCGAUGUGGAAGAAGAGAAGGGCAGUAGGGAAGAGCAGCAGCAGAAGGCAGGGUCGCGCGGGGCACCAGACACCUUGUCUGGUCGGCCGCGCCGUGGAUGCGAUGGCGCUGGAGGUUGGCAGGAUGGAUGGUAUGGUGCUGGUGGUCCGUGGUGGAGAUGGUCGUGGCUGGCGGCGCCGAUGGAUGGAUGGAGAUGGGUGAUGAGGCGGGAGGCGCACCACCACGCCGGCCUGGCUGUGGCGGCGGCCGGAGGUGGAGAAGGAGGGUGAGGGAAAGAGAUGCCAGGCCCGAUUGCAAUGGAGAUGCGGCUAGGGAUUUUGAUCCCCUCCCGAUCAGAUCUGAACGUUUUCACAUUGGCCCUCCUUCUUCCUUCUUUCUUCCCAAGUUGGUCCUCCCAUCUUUAGUUUGGCCCCUCGGUUACUUCUUUCCUUCACGCUCAGCUCCUUGACUCCAUCACUUGAUCAUUUGUAGUAGAAGAGUUUUGUGCCUUAUCGCACUUUUCUGCAAAAUAAACAAGUGACUAGUCAACAAUCCUUUUAUAUGAUUUUCAUGCAAUAUUCGAUAAUUCUUAGCAAGAAUAGAUGGACACAUCUCAAGAAAUGGUGAAUUUGUGUGUCAAAAUUAUAUAUAUGAAAUGUGCUUAUCAAGUUCCCCCACACUUAAAUCUUUGCUUGUCCUCAAGCAAAGGAAUAUGACAAGAGCAAGAUAGUGAAUAGUGAACUGAAUAGAAAAUGUCAAGUGAAGUAGAUCUCUAAACAGUGCAUGCUUCAGACUUGGUUAGUGAAAAUUAAUGGUUAGGAGUGCUAGAAAGCAAUAGGACACUAGUAAACUCAAUCAUUUUAAACUUUUACAAUGAUAAAAGAAGAUUAACAAGUUCAAAUGCUGAUUGUGCCAAAAGGUUCCUAAAGAGAGCAUGAUCCCAAGAGACACCUAUUACUAGGAACAUAAGAUUGUGGUAAAACCACUUAUUGAAAUUGAAACGCACUUGAUAAUAUAUUAUCAAUCUCACCAAAGGAACAUACCACCGAUCCCGAGAACAUGGUAUACACCUGGCUCGACCAAUUGUUAGGUUUUUUUAAUUGUCUCCCCAAAGGAACAUACCACCGAUCCAGAGAACAUGGUAUACACCUGGUUCGACAAUUACAUUUUUAUUAUUUAUUUAUUACUGUCCAAGCUACCAGAUUUCACAUGCCACCGAUCCCGAGAACAUGACAUGCUACUGUUAGGUAGAUCAGAUAAUUAUUCACUAUAAAAUAUGCCUUUUUUAAUGAACAAACACAAGAAUCAUCACUCAACCAGGUCUGGUUCACAUGCUACCGAUCCAGAGAACAUAGCAUGCUAAUCCAUAGUGGUGAAAUGAUUGCUCUGAAUGGGAACACAUUAGGUGCAAACUCAGCAUCUGACACUUAAUGAUCUAGGUGUAUCAAGGUAAAGCAGAAAAUGAUAAAGUUUUCUAGUGUACUAGGGAUUCGAGCACUCAAAACUAAUAGCGUCCACUACUUUCAGCAAAGCAAGCAGUAUGUAGAUCACUAGUUUACAAGGCAUUCACAAUUCAGUUCACAUAUUCACAUCAAGCACCAUAUGUCAAAUAAAAUUCAGUGGGGCAACAUUUAAGACAUGACUUAAGCAACCCAAAUAACAUUUGAUUUCAGCAUGUAUCAAUGGAUGAUAUACUCGGAAUGGGUCAUGAAACAGCUCACCGGGCACUAUGAAGUAGCACUCGCUUGAUCACUCUCUAAGCUGCUGCUCUUCUCCUUUGCUUCCUCAUGGAUGCUCCAGCUUCACUCUUCUUCGUGUGUGCCCCCUUGCUUCUCCUCAUCCCCAUGCUCUGAGUCCACCAGGGUCCCAAGGAAUGUCACUCGAACCUGGUCAGCAUGAAGUGAACGAUGCAGAAGCAAAAACCUGAAAGAACACUCCACAAAAGAGACGAUGCAAGCGGUAGGAAUAAUACCCUCCAAGUCAUCAAUCGAGUAUCCAAUUACAUAAGCAUAGCUAUAAAGCACAUGUUUAGGAUGGUAGAAAUCAGCAAGGUCAACACUAACAUGAGGAUGAUAUUUAUCAUUAAGCUCAAGACUAGCAUGGGAAUGAUAUGUUUCAUUAAGCAUAGGACUAGCAUAAGGAGAAUAAGUGUCAUCAUAAAUGAGAGAAAUGCCAAUAACAGGGUAUGUAUGAUCAUGUCCAAGCAAAUAGUUUUUCAAGUCUAGCUUAAUUGAUGGUAUCAUGCAAUGCAAAGUAGUAGCAAACAGAUCAUAUGGACGCAUGUCAUCAAGAGGAUUAGAUAAACCUGCUACAUCACGCUCUUGUAUGACGAUGGGCAAAUGAAUUUCUGGUUCUUCAUCUUCAACUACUGGAGCUUCUUUUACUUCUUCAGGAAGGAUAUACAUUGGAUCUUCAAGGUCUUCGACCUGAUCACUUGGGUAGUUGAGCUCUGGAUCAUCUUGUGCCUUGGCUUCGAGAAUCUCUUCUUGGAUCUGAAGUAUCUCUUCCUCUGGACUCUCGCUAUCUUGCUCAGCUGAAUGUGAAGGUGUUCGAACGUCACACACCUCAAGGGAUAUCCCAGGAACACUCAGCUCAAGGAGGGAAGAGAUAGUACUGCCAGCGUUGAUGUUCUUCUCAAUCUUCCUUACUUCUUCCACUAGCUCCUUUCCACUCUUAAUCUUCUUCAUUUCCUCAAGUAUCACCUUCCUAAUAGGAUCAUCCUCGGCACUCCAAGUGAACUCGAGACUCAAAAGUGUGAGCUUGUCUAUGUCAUCGAACUCGUCUUGUGUGGGCACUUGCACAUGAGAUUGCACAACAGGUGCUGGAGUUGUUGGUUGACCAAAUGGAGGACCAUUUAACUCCAUUGGACACAUCUCCUGGUGCUGCGGUAUAUGAGUAGGAGGUGAAUAAAACUGUUGUGGUGCAUGGUUGUGGCUCUCCACAUUGUACCUAAUUCCCUGCAAUGGAUAACUAGAGGCAAACGAUGAGAUCUCAGGGCUGUUGUUCCUAUAUGACAUAUUCUGGUUUUCAGGCCACCCAUAUGAGUAAUUGUUUUGGUAUGAGCUAGGCUGUGGGGCGAAGCUCAUGCCAUAACUAUCGGGAGGGUGAGAGUAACCACGCUGACAUUCAGUGGGUGAAUGGCCCUGAAAUCCACAAAUAUGGCAUGUAGGAGCAACAUAAGGAUGACCUCUAGAAUAAGGAUCAUAAGAGCUAGUCCUAUCCUCAAAAACUACUUCUCGCUGCCGAGCUAAAUCAUCUAAUCGAUGGGAAAUCUUACUUAUCAGUUCUUGAAUACUUUCCGUGCUGUUUGUAGUGUUGCUCGCAUAAGCAUGAUGAUCUGAGUAGAAUGCCAUUUCCAAAAGACAAUUCAACCUACAAAAUGAACAAGAAAAGAAAGAGAAGAUAACUAGAACAGUGGUUAGGGGUAAGAGAUAUAUCACAAAUAUAUGGCACCAGAUAGAAACAGAAGCAAAACCUAGUCUAUAGCCUAACACGGUCACUCGACGCUAGUCCCCGGCAACGGCGCCAAAAUGAUCUAUUGUAGGUACAGUGGGGUUUUUAUGCCCAAACUGCGAGUGUCGUGUUCUCCUCAGGGACUAGGCAACAGCAACUAUGCUCGGCUAAAGUUAGAUAACACAAUUAGGGUGAUGAUCGCAAGAAAAUAUAAACCUAAAAUAAUCAAGGAUGAUGACAAACAACACAGGGAAAUUAAGGUUGACACUCACUCUCUAAUUGGUAUUUUCAAACUACCAGAUAACUACAAUACUAGCAUCAAUGAUAAGGGAAGUCAAAAUACAUGGACAUAUAUAACUAGCAUGCAGAUGACAGGAGGAAGAAACAAGCUAGUACGACAGGGACAGAAAUAUAUAACAACACAAACAUAUAUAUUUUCACACGAACAUCGUUAACACAAAGACUCGAAAUUAAAUGUUCAUACAUCUUACUUCUACAAAUGGUAACAUCAAUAGUAAAUUCACAAGAAACAAUAUGAAUUAUUAAAAGCAACUAGCUGACAAUUAGUCACACACACAGAACAUAUAUGAUUUGGAUUACACAAGACACAAUACUAGCACUAAAAUGAUCAACAUCACAGAAAUACGAAACCACAUGAAACAUAUAUCAUGAACAUAUAUGUCACAGAAAUACUCAUAAGCAGAUUCUGAUAGAUCAAUCACCUCCCAAAUUAAGAAGGCAUCAACAAGUCAGGUCACAUAACAAGUACUAUAUUAUACAAUACGGAGCUGAACGAAUAACAAGUGAUUAGAACUAGUCAAGUCUGAAUAUUACACAACCCUGAACAUUACACAAUUCUGAACAUUACACUACUCAAGGUUACAGAAAUUUGAGAGAGAGAACAGCAGCAGGUUUUGGGAAAGGGGGAGGAGGAGCAGCAGGUUUUUGGAAGAUGAGGAGCAGCAGGGGCGUUCGAGAGAAGGUGCAGCAAGAGAGAGGAGCAGCGGCAGUUCAGCAGAGAGGUUGAGGGAAGGAGCAGCAACAGUUGCGGUAAAGAGCAGCAGCAGCAGCAGCGUGGAGGGUUGAGAGAAAAGCUUCAGCCGAGGCCAAGCAGGGUCGUGAGAGGAGAAACAGAGGAGGGGCAGCAGCGAGAUGGGCGGAGGGAGCAGCAGGAAGGCGAUGGGGAAGAAGAGAAGGGCAGUAGGGAAGAGCAACAGCAGAAGGCAGGGUCGCGCGGGGCACCAGACACCUUGUCUGGUCGGCCGCGCCGUGGAUGCGAUGCGCUUGAGGUUGGCAGGAUGGAUGGUAUGGUGGCUGGUGUUGCGUGGUGGAGAUGGUCGUGGCUGGCGGCGCCGAUGGAUGGAUGGAGAUGGGUGAUGAGGCGGGAGGCGCACCACCACGCCGGCCUGGCUGUGGCGGCGGCCGGAGGUGGAGAAGGAGGGUGAGGGAAAGAGAUGCCAGGCCCGAUUGCAAUGGAGAUGCGGCUAGGGAUUUUGAUCCCCUCCCGAUCAGAUCUGAACGUUUUCACAUUGUUCCUCCUUCUUCCUUCUUUCUUCCCAAGUUGGUCCUCCCAUCUUUAGUUUGGCCCCUCGGUUACUUCUUUCCUUCACGCUCAGCUCCUUGACUCCAUCACUUGAUCAUUGGUAGUAGAAGAGUUUUGUGCCUUAUCGCA
rnacentral:lncRNA from 1 species